rnacentral:rRNA from 1 species
UACGUAGGGUCCGAGCGUUGUCCGGAAUUACUGGGCGUAAAGAGCUCGUAGGUGGUUUGUCGCGUUGUUCGUGAAAACUCACAGCUUAACUGUGGGCGUGCGGGCGAUACGGGCAGACUAGAGUACUGCAGGGGAGACUGGAAUUCCUGGUGUAGCGGUGGAAUGCGCAGAUAUCAGGAGGAACACCGGUGGCGAAGGCGACCAUCUGGACGGAUACUGACGCUGAGACGCGAAAGCGUGGGGAGCAAACAGG